rnacentral:snRNA from 8 species
AUCGCUUCUCGGCCUUUUGGCUCAGAUCAAGUGUAGUAUCUGUUCUUAUCAGUUUAAUAUCUGAUACGUCCCCCAUCGGGGGACUACAUAUUAAAUGGAUUUUUCGAACAGGGAGUCGGAAAUGGGGCUUGCUCCGUCCGCUCCACGCAUCGACCCGGUAUCGCAGUACCUCCGGGAACGGUGCAACACUU